rnacentral:rRNA from 1 species
UACGUAGGCAGCAAGCGUUGUUCGGAAUUACUGGGCGUAAAGAGUGUGUAGGCGGUGCUCUAAGUUCGGUGUGAAAUCUCCCGGCUCAACUGGGAGGGUGCGCCGGAAACUGGAGUGCUGGAGCGCGGGAGAGGAAAGCGGAAUUCCUGGUGUAGCGGUGAAAUGCGUAGAUAUCAGGAGGAACACCGGUGGCGAAGGCGGGUCUCUGGGCCGAUACUGACGCUGAGGAGCGAAAGCGUGGGGAGCGAACAGG